rnacentral:tRNA from 1 species
GUCUUCGUGAUGUAACGGUCAGCACACUCGACUCGUAUUCGAGAGGUCCAGUUUCAAAUCCCGGCGAGGGCA